UACAGAGGUCCCAAGCGUUUGUUCGGAUUCAUUGGGCGUAAAGGGUGCGUAGGCGGCGCGGUAAGUCGGGUGUGAAAUCUCGGGGCUUAACUCCGAAACUGCAUUCGAUACUGCCGUGCUUGAGGACUGGAGAGGAGACUGGAAUUUACGGUGUAGCGGUGAAAUGCGUAGAUAUCGUAAGGAAGACCAGUGGCGAAGGCGGGUCUCUGGACAGUUCCUGACGCUGAGGCACGAAGGCCAGGGAGGCAAACGGG
rnacentral:rRNA from 1 species